rnacentral:rRNA from 1 species
AGAGCGAACGCUGGCGGCAGGCCUAACACAUGCAAGUCGAGCGGCCGUAGCAAUACGGCAGCGGCAGACGGGAUAGUAACACGUGGGAACGCGCCCUUCGGUUCGGAAUAACUCAGGGAAACUUGAGCUAAUACCGGAUACGCCCUUACGGGGAAAGAUUUAUUGCCGAAGGAACGGCCCGCGUCGGAUUAGCUAGUUGGUGAGGUAAUGGCUCACCAAGGCGACGAUCCGUAGCUGGUCUGAGAGGAUGACCAGCAUCACUGGGACUGAGACACGGCCCAGACUCCUACGGGAGGCAGCAGUGGGAAUAUUGGACAAUGGGCGCAAGCCUGAUCCAGCCAUGCCGCGUGGAUGAUGAAGGCCCUAGGGUUGUAAAGUCCUUUUAACGGGGAAGAUAAUGACGGUACCCGUAGAAUAAGCCCGGCUAACUUCGUGCCAGCAGCCGC